rnacentral:rRNA from 1 species
GUUAUAUGGUCAAGCGAAUAAGCGCACACGGUGGAUGCCUUGGCGGUCAGAGGCGAUGAAGGACGUGGCAGCCUGCGAAAAGUAUCGGGGAGCUGGCAACAAGCUUUGAUCCGGUAAUGUCCGAAUGGGGAAACCCACCCGCUUGCGGGUAUCCUGCAGUGAAUACAUAGCUGCUGGAAGCGAACCUGGUGAACUGAAAUAUCUAAGUAACCAGAGGAAAAGAAAUCAACCGAGAUUCCGUAAGUAGCGACGAGCGAACGCGGACUAGCCCUUAAGCUGAUCUGGUUCUAGGAAAACGCUCUGGAAAGAGCGGCCAUAGAAGGUGAUAGCCCUGUAUCUGAAAGGGCCAUUUCAGUGAAGACGAGUAGGGCGGGGCACGUGAAACCCUGUCUGAACAUGGGGGGACCAUCCUCCAAGGCUAAAUACUACUGACCGACCGAUAGUGAACCAGUACCGUGAGGGAAAGGCGAAAAGAACCCCGGAGAGGGGAGUGAAAUAGAACCUGAAACCGUGUGCGUACAAGCAGUAGGAGCUCCGCAAGGAGUGACUGCGUACCUUUUGUAUAAUGGGUCAGCGACUUACUGUUCGUGGCAAGCUUAACCGUAUAGGGGAGGCGAAGGGAAACCGAGUCUGAUAAGGGCGCAUAGUCGCGGGCAGUAGACCCGAAACCGGGUGAUCUAGUCAUGCCCAGGGUGAAGGUGCGGUAACACGCACUGGAGGCCCGAACCCACUCCCGUUGCAAAGGUAGGGGAUGAGGUGUGAUUAGGAGUGAAAAGCUAAUCGAACCCGGAGAUAGCUGGUUCUCCUCGAAAGCUAUUUAGGUAGCGCCUCAUAUGUAUCCUCUCGGGGGUAGAGCACUGUUAUGGCUAGGGGGUCAUCGCGACUUACCAAACCAUUGCAAACUCCGAAUACCGAGACGGACUGUAUGGGAGACACACGGCGGGUGCUAACGUCCGUCGUGAAAAGGGAAACAACCCAGACCCACAGCUAAGGUCCCAAAUUUUGUGCUAAGUGGAAAACCAUGUGGAAAGGCACAGACAGCCAGGAGGUUGGCUUAGAAGCAGCCACCCUUUAAAGAAAGCGUAAUAGCUCACUGGUCGAGUCGGUCUGCGGGGAAGAUUUAACGGGGCUAAGCACAGAACCGAAGCUUGGGGUGCAUAACUUUGUUAUGCGCGGUAGAGGAGCGUUCCGUAAGCCGUUGAAGGUGGAUUGAGAAGUCUGCUGGAGGUAUCGGAAGUGCGAAUGCUGACAUGAGUAACGAUAAUGCGGGUGAAAAACCCGCACGCCGAAAGCCCAAGGUUUCCUUGCGCAACGUUAAUCGGCGCAGGGUGAGUCGGCCCCUAAGGCGAGGACGAAAGUCGUAGUCGAUGGGAAGCAGGUUAAUAUUCCUGCACCUCGCGUAAGUGCGAUGGAGGGACGGAGAAGGUUAGGUGUACCAGGCGUUGGUUGUCCUGGGGAAAGGCGGUAGGUUUGGAUCUUUGGCAAAUCCGGGAUCCUCUAAGACCGAGCACCGAGACGAGCCUUUAAGGCGAAGUCACUGAUACCACGCUUCCAGGAAAAGCUCCUAAGCUUCAGCUUACGCAGACCGUACCGUAAACCGACACAGGUGGGUAGGAUGAGAAUUCUCAGGCGCUUGAGAGAACUCGGGUGAAGGAACUAGGCAACAUGGCACCGUAACUUCGGGAGAAGGUGCACCCUUUUUGGUGGCUCGUGCGAGCUAUAGCUGAAGAGGGUCGCAGUAACCAGGCCGCUGCGACUGUUUAUCAAAAACACAGCACUCUGCAAACACGAAAGUGGACGUAUAGGGUGUGACGCCUGCCCGGUGCUGGAAGGUUAAUUGAUGGGGUCAGCCGCAAGGCGAAGCUCUUGAUCGAAGCCCCAGUAAACGGCGGCCGUAACUAUAACGGUCCUAAGGUAGCGAAAUUCCUUGUCGGGUAAGUUCCGACCUGCACGAAUGGCGUAACGACAGCGGCGCUGUCUCCACCCGAGACUCAGUGAAAUUGAAAUCGCUGUGAAGAUGCAGCGUUCCCGUGGCAAGACGGAAAGACCCCGUGAACCUUUACUAUAGCUUUACACUGAACGUUGAGUUCGUCUGUGUAGGAUAGGUGGGAGGCUAUGAAACUGUGGCGCUAGCUGCAGUGGAGCCAUCCUUGAAAUACCACCCUGUCGUGCUUGACGUUCUAACCUGGGCCCAUUAUCUGGGUCGGGGACCGUGUAUGGUGGGUAGUUUGACUGGGGCGGUCUCCUCCUAAAGAGUAACGGAGGAGCUCGAAGGUACGCUCAGCGCGGUCGGACAUCGCGCACUGUGUGCAAAGGCAUAAGCGUGCUUGACUGCAAGAUCGACGGAUCAAGCAGGUAGGAAACUAGGACUUAGUGAUCCGGUGGUUCUGUAUGGAAGGGCCAUCGCUCAACGGAUAAAAGGUACUCCGGGGAUAACAGGCUGAUACCGCCCAAGAGUUCAUAUCGACGGCGGUGUUUGGCACCUCGAUGUCGGCUCAUCACAUCCUGGGGCUGUAGUCGGUCCCAAGGGUAUGGCUGUUCGCCAUUUAAAGUGGUACGCGAGCUGGGUUCAGAACGUCGUGAGACAGUUCGGUCCCUAUCUGCCAUGGGCGUUGGAGAUUUGAGAGGGGCUGCUCCUAGUACGAGAGGACCGGAGUGGACGAACCUCUGGUGUUCCGGUUGUCACGCCAGUGGCAUUGCCGGGUAGCUAUGUUCGGAAGCGAUAACCGCUGAAAGCAUCUAAGCGGGAAGCGCGCCUCAAGAUGAGAUCUCCCGGGGCACAAGCCCCCUGAAGGAACCAUGUAGACUACGUGGUUGAUAGGUCAGGUGUGUAAGUACAGCAAUGUAUUGAGCUAACUGAUACUAAUGAUCCGAGAGGCUUGACCAUAUAACCU